rnacentral:rRNA from 1 species
GACGAACGCUGGCGGCGUGCUUAACACAUGCAAGUCGAACGAAGAGCGAUGGAAGCUUGCUUCUAUCAAUCUUAGUGGCGAACGGGUGAGUAACGCGUAAUCAACCUGCCCUUCAGAGGGGGACAACAGUGGGAAACGACUGCUAAUACCGCAUACGAUCUAAUCUCGGCAUCGAGGAUAGAUGAAAGGUGGCCUCUACAUGUAAGCUAUCACUGAAGGAGGGGAUUGCGUCUGAUUAGCUAGUUGGAGGGGUAACGGCCCACCAAGGCGAUGAUCAGUAGCCGGUCUGAGAGGAUGAACGGCCACAUUGGGACUGAGACACGGCCCAGACUCCUACGGGAGGCAGCAGUGGGGAAUCUUCCGCAAUGGACGAAAGUCUGACGGAGCAACGCCGCGUGAGUGAUGACGGCCUUCGGGUUGUAAAGCUCUGUUAAUCGGGACGAAAGGCCUUCUUGCGAACAGUUAGAAGGAUUGACGGUACCGGAAUAGAAAGCCACGGCUAACUACGU